CAUCGUCUCCUUCCCAGCGUCAAUGUACAAGAGCAGAGUAGGUGGUGCAAUCUACAGAGUGCGGGAAGCAGGCAACUGAUCAACUGCAGCACUUGGUCAAAAUGCAGCCCGACCCGCUGGAUACACCACACUUUACGUUACGUUCAAGAUCGUCUCGCGCUUUGAUUUUUGCUCCAGAUGACAGCACCUGCAGUCUUUCCUCUCUGUCACCCUCAUCUGAUUUUCACUGCAUUUCUUUGCCACCAGAGGGAGAUAUGGAGGCAACGAGGAGCAGGAACUCUGGCUGAUGUACUUGCCCAUCCCUGGUUAAUGCCGAGUUAUUUAAGCACAUUGAAUUCUGCUUAUUAUCCGGCGAAGCAGAAACGCUUGUUGAACAUACAGGAAGGUACUUGUAAUCAAGUGCGUACUGUGUCAGCACUAUCUGAACACUAAAUAGACCCGGUCUUGACCCUGUUAUUAUUAAGGGACAUUAUAUCCCAUUCUAACAGCGCAAGUGAAAUAAUGAUUGCAUCUAGAUUUAAGAGCCGUUAGUGACUUUUGGUACCACACCAUUAUGCGGUCACUUAUGCUGUUUUUACACGCCAUUUAUUGGAAAUAAUUCCCUUUCAUCUUUUGCCAAAAAACCCAUUGAGAUUAAUUUCAAUUCAGUGGAUACUCCUCAAUGAAUGCAUCGGGGGAAUAAUGGAACGUCAUUUGUUGUUGAACAACGCACAUAACUGUGCAUUUACUGGCCCACACCAAGGGACUCUCGUUCCAAGGACGAUGUUACCUGGCAAUAAUAAAUGAAUAUUUUGUGAGGACUGGAGCCAGGUAAUAGUAGAGGAAGGGAAUGAGGAAAUGUAAAAUGUUUACAGCACAGUAAAAAGCCCUUCUUCUCA